ensembl:rRNA 5S_rRNA 5S ribosomal RNA
GCUUACGGCCAUACCGCCCUGAAUGCGCCCGAUCUCGGAAGCCUAGCCGGGUCGGGCCUGGUUAAUACUUGGAUGGGAGACCGCCUGGGAAUACCAGGUGCUGUAAGCU